UGAGAGGAGUCUGACUGAUCCUAAUUGGU
rnacentral:piRNA from 1 species